rnacentral:rRNA from 1 species
UCAAGCUACAAAGGGCGCAUGGUGAAUGCCUUGGCAUCAGGAGCCGAUGAAGGACGUGAUAAGCUGCGAUAAGCUUCGGGUAGGCGCACAUAGCCUGAGAUCCGAAGAUCUCCGAAUGAGGAAACUCACAUGGGAAACCCCAUGUAUCAUUAAGUGAAUACAUAGCUUAAUGAAGGUAACCCAGGGAACUGAAACAUCUAAGUACCUGGAGGAAGAGAAAGAAAAAUCGAUUUUCUUAGUAGCGGCGAGCGAAAGGGAAAGAGCCCAAACCGGAAACUUGUUUCCGGGGUUGUGGACAUAGCAUGAAAGUGGAGGCUAUUGUAACUGAAGAGAACUGGAAAGUUCCACCGUAGAAGGUAAUAGUCCUGUAAGUGAAACGAGAAGACCACGAGUUAUGAUCCAGAGUACCACGAGACACGUGAAACCUUGUGGGAAGCAGGGAGGACCACCUCCCAAGGCUAAAUACUACCUGAUGACCGAUAGUGAAGAAGUACCGUGAGGGAAAGGUGAAAAGAACCCCGGGAGGGGAGUGAAAUAGAACCUGAAACCGUGUGCCUACAACCGCUCAGAGCCCCUUAUGAGGGUGAUGAGGUGCUUUUUGUAGAACGAGCCAACGAGUUACGGUAUGUAGCAAGGUUAAGUACUUAAGGUACGGAGCCGAAGGGAAACCGAGUCUGAAUAGGGCGACUAGUUGCAUGCCGUAGACCCGAAACCGGGUGACCUAUCCAUGGCCAGGUUGAAGCGAGGGUAAAACCUCGUGGAGGACCGAACCACGUUGCUGUUGAAAAAGCAUGGGAUGAGCUGUGGAUAGCGGAGAAAUUCCAAUCGAACCCGGAGAUAGCUGGUUCUCUCCGAAAUAGCUUUAGGGCUAGCGUCGAGUAUGAGUAGUGGAGGUAGAGCACUGAAUGGGCUAGGGGGCAUAGCGCUUACCGAACCUUAUCAAACUCCGAAUGCCACAUACUUUGAGCUCGGCAGUCAGACUACGAAUGAUAAGAUCCGUGGUCAAAAGGGAAACAGCCCAGAUCGUCAGCUAAGGUCCCAAAGUGUAAGUUAAGUGGGAAAGGAUGUGAGAUUUCUAAGACAACUAGGAUGUUGGCUUAGAAGCAGCCAUUCAUUAAAAGAGUGCGUAAUAGCUCACUAGUCGAGAGAUCUUGCGCCGAAAAUGUAACGGGGCUAAACUUACCACCGAAGCUACGGGCUUGAACUUAGUUCAAGCGGUAGGAGAGCGUCGUAACCGGGCUGAAGUCGUACCGUAAGGAGCGGUGGACUGGUUACGAGUGAGAAUGUUGGCAUCAGUAGCGAGAUGUGGGUGAGAAUCCCACAGGCCGAAAACCUAAGGUUUCCUCAGGAAGGUUCGUCCGCUGAGGGUUAGUCGGGACCUAAGCCGAGGCCGAAAGGCGUAGGUGAUGGACAACUGGUUGAUAUUCCAGUACCACUACCAUCGUUAUUAUCGAUGGCGUGACGCAGGAGGAUAGUGUGUGCUAGCUAUUGGAUGCUAGUCUAAGCGUUUAGGCAGUGAGAGUAGGCAAAUCCGCUCUCAUAAUGCUGAGGCGUGAUGGGGAAGGUUCCACGGAACCGAAGUACAUGAUUCCACGCUGCCAAGAAAAGCGUCUAGAGAGAGAAGUAGUGCCCGUACCGCAAACCGACACAGGUAGGUGAGGAGAGAAUCCUAAGGCCGGCGGAAGAAUUACAGUUAAGGAACUCGGCAAAUUGACCCCGUAAGUUCGCGAGAAGGGGUGCCUACGAGAGUAGGCCGCAGAGAAUAGGCCCAAGCAACUGUUUAGCAAAAACACAGGUCUCUGCUAAAGCGUAAGCUGAUGUAUAGGGGCUGACGCCUGCCCGGUGCUGGAAGGUUAAGGGGAACACUUAGCGCAAGCGAAGGUGUGAACUUAAGCCCCAGUAAACGGCGGCCGUAACUAUAACGGUCCUAAGGUAGCGAAAUUCCUUGUCAGGUAAGUUCUGACCCGCACGAAUGGCGUAAUGACUUGGGCACUGUCUCAACUGUAAAUCCGGCGAAGUUGUAGUGCGAGUGAAGAUGCUCGCUACCCGCGAUUGGACGGAAAGACCCCGUAGAGCUUUACUGUAGCUUAGCAUUGAGUUUUGGUAUUGUCUGUACAGGAUAGGUGGGAGACUAGGAAACCAGGGCGUCAGCCUUGGUGGAGUCAACCUUGGGAUACCACCCUGACAGUACUGAAAUUCUAACUGGCGGCCAUGAAUCUGGUCACAGGACAUUGUUAGGUGGGCAGUUUGACUGGGGCGGUCGCCUCCUAAAAAGUAACGGAGGCGCCCAAAGGUUCCCUCAGAACGGUCGGAAAUCGUUCGAAGAGUGCAAAGGCAGAAGGGAGCCUGACUGCGACACCCACAAGUGGAGCAGGGACGAAAGUCGGGCUUAGUGAUCCGGUGGUACCUCGUGGGAGGGCCAUCGCUCAACGGAUAAAAGCUACCUCGGGGAUAACAGGCUGAUCUCCCCCAAGAGUCCACAUCGACGGGGAGGUUUGGCACCUCGAUGUCGGCUCGUCGCAUCCUGGGGCUGAAGUAGGUCCCAAGGGUUGGGCUGUUCGCCCAUUAAAGCGGCACGCGAGCUGGGUUCAGAACGUCGUGAGACAGUUCGGUCCCUAUCCGUCGCGGGCGUAGGAAAUUUGAGAGGAGCUGUCCUUAGUACGAGAGGACCGGGAUGGACUGACCUCUGGUGUACCAGUUGUUCCGCCAGGAGCACAGCUGGGUAGCUAAGUCGGGAAUGGAUAAACGCUGAAAGCAUCUAAGCGUGAAGCCAACCUCAAGAUGAGAUUUCCCAUAGCGUAAGCUAGUAAGAUCCCUUGAAGAACACAAGGUUGAUAGGUCGGGGGUGUAAGCAUGGUAACAUGUUCAGCUGACCGAUACUAAUAGAUCGAGGGCUUGACCAA